rnacentral:rRNA from 1 species
CUACGGGUGGCUCCAGUAGGGAAUCUUAGACAAUGGGGGAAACCCUGAUCUAGCCAUGCCGCGUGAGUGAUGAAGGCCUUAGGGUUGUAAAGCUCUUUCGCUGGGGAAGAUAAUGACGGUACCCAGUAAAGAAACCCCGGCUAACUCCGUGCCAGCAGCCGCGGUAAUACGGAGGGGGUUAGCGUUGUUCGGAAUUACUGGGCGUAAAGCGCGCGUAGGCGGGCUAUUAAGUCAGGGGUGAAAUCCCGGGGCUCAACCCCGGAACUGCCUUUGAUACUGGUAGUCGUGAGUUCGAGAGAGGUGAGUGGAAUUCCGAGUGUAGAGGUGAAAUUCGUAGAUAUUCGGAGGGACAUCAGUGGCGAAGGCGACUCACUGGCUCGAUACUGACGCUGAGGUGCGAAAGUGUGGGGAGCAAACAGGAUUAGAUACCCGAGUAGUC